UAGAAUUGGGAAUGGCCACCUAUCCAUUGCAUAGGAAGGAUCAAAUGGGCAGUAAUGGCCCCACCCAUUUCAAGGAAUUCUUUGCAGUACUUAAAAAGAAUGAAGAUAAUUCGUCAGGUUAGAAAACAUAUGUACACUAUAUCAUUUAUGUUUAACAAGUUAGAGCAAUUAUGUACACAUAUUUAUGAAUAGGGGUAUAGAAAAGGACAUGGGUCUACAUACAUCACACUAUCUUUAGAGGGAGAUGUUGGAUUGUUGGUAUGAUAGUCAAGAGGGGAUUUAUCUGUAAAAUUUAGACUUGUAUUCCUGUAUUAUAUAAUUAAAAAUUUUUUAAAGGCUUUUAGUAAAAUGAAUGUUUAGGAAAAAGAAGCAAGUGGGAAAAGAAUCACUCCACGUGACAGAGAGACAGGUGAGUUUUGUGCCAGGCUGGGUAACAGUUUCAGGAUGGGCCCUGAAGAACUGGCUCCUCUCUCGCUGUAGUCCUAGGAUGGACAUGCUGCCCAGAGCAUUGAGGCCUUGCCCACUCCCUGGCCAAGUGACAAGUGUGCCACACCACAGCAAGCACAAAAGGAGAACAAGUUCCCUUCAACUAACUACUACUCUCUCCUUGGCCUCAGGCCUUGCUUGAUUCACGUGCUCCAAGGGCUGUGUCCACAUCUGCUCCCACACCUUGGGCAGUGGCCUCUGUGACAGCCACAAGUUGCUCUGAGUUCCUGUACAAUGUAAGCAGUGUAAAUCCUUAUACAGCUGUCCUUGGGUCACUAUGGGGGACUAGCUCCAGGACCCUGCAAGUCCCUUAUAUAAAAUGGUGCACUAUUUACAUACACAUCCUCCCUUAAACUUUAAAUCACCUCUAGAUUACUGGUAAUACCUAAUACAAUGCAAAUGUUAUGUAAAUACUUGUUACUCUGUAUUGUUUGGGGCCUAGUAACAAGAAAAAAGUCUGUAUAAAUCCAGUAGUAAUGAUUUUUAAAAUUUGUAUUUAUUUUUGCAGUACUGAGAAUUGAACCAAGGACUUUUGCACUGAGCUACAACCCCAGUCUUUUUUUAAUUUUUAAAUUCUGAGAUGAGGUCUUCAUAAGUUGCCCAGUCUGGGCUAGAACUUGUGAUCCUUCUGCCUCAGCCUCCCAGAGGGCUGGCAUUACAGGAGUGCACCAUCAAGCCUGCUUCAUGCAAUUAAAAAAAAAGUUCUGAUCCAAAGUGAAACCCACGGACGCAGAAUGUGUGGAUGUGGAGGGCCAGUGAUGUUACAGGAAGAAGUGGUGACUUGUCCAUUCUCUGCUGGGGCCAGCUUUCCUCCACCUAUUGCUCUGGGAGCAGGAAGAAGGGCAGACAAUGGGGGAGGAGAACGUUGGACCAAAGUGGCUGUCCUACUUUGUAGCCUUGCAUUUCUAGCACAGUGAGAAGUGGAAGCUGUCAGGAGAAAGGGACAGUGGCUUGGAGUCAUCAUUUACCCAGAAAAUCAAAUGAACACAAAUUAAGAAAAUUUGUUGCCAGAAGACCAGCCUUGCAGGACAUAUUAAAAGAAGUUCUUCAAAGAGAAGGAAAAUGAUAUUGGUCAGGAAUUUGGGUCCACAUGGAGACAAAAGAACACUGGAGAAGACAUAGCUAAAGCCACCAGGUAUGAGGCUGAAACCUGGAGAAGGGAACAAGAGGACAGGACCAUACCCUCCAAUAAAAUAAUAUCCAGAGUGCAGGACUAGAGGGGGAAAAGUCAUCACAUGACUGCAGGAAAGGGUUGAUGUGUGGAGAACAUGAACAAUGAGGGAAGGAUCCCACCUCAAGUUUACCUAGCUAGCUAGCCCUGAACUUCCAAAGACGUAAGUCAUUUCCUGCUUUUUGUUUCAGUCUUCAUCUGUCAGAUUUAUUCUUCCAGUUCAUUUCACAAACAUUCUUGGAGUGCUUCCUGUGUGGCAAGCUCUGUCCUGGGCACUGAGGGAAGGCCUAGAGGCCAAAGGAUCUCAGUUACCAGGAAAAACAAAGAAUGAGCAGAAGAGCAUAUUGAUCUAGUAUCUUUCCUAUUCAGGCAAUAUGAUAGACAAAAGGGACAAAUGAUUAGUGAAAACUAGUGCUAAAUACUAAAGCUUAUGAUCUUAGUAGGAUUCACUAGGAAACCUAAAAAUCUUCUCACUUAAAACACCUAGAAAUUCUGGAUAAAAUAUACAAUAAUCCCUCCCUUAUCCACCAUUUUCCUUUCCACAAUUUCAGUUACCUAUGGUCAACCACUGUCUAAAAAUAUUAAAUGGAAAAUUCCAAAAAUAAACAAUUUAUAAAUUUUAAGUUGCGCAACACUCUGAGUAGGAUAAGAUCUCUGGCAGCUCCUUCCUGCCCAGAAUGCAAAUCAUCCCUUUGUCCAGAGUAUCCAUGCUCCAUACACUACCGCCCAGUUAAUCACCUAGGAGUCAUCUCAGUUAUCAGAUUGACUGUCACAGUCUUUCGGUGCUUGUGUUCAGAUAAUCCUUAUUUUACUUAAUAAUGGCUCCAAGUUUCAAGAAUAACAUUACUGGCAGUUGGAUAUACCAAAGAGAAGCUGUAAAAGCUCUUCCUUGGGGCCAGGGAUUUAGCUCAGUGAUUCUGGAGCCUGCCUUGCAAGUGCAAGGUCCCGAGUUCGAUCCCCUGUCCUAAAAAAUAAAAGUGCUUCCUUUAAGUCAA